UGCAAUUGUUUGCGUAAACACCUUCUUCAUAAAAGUCGAUGGUGUUGAGAAGAUUUGGAAUCGUAAUUGAAAGCGGGGUGAGUUCUUCCUUUAAGAUCUCAUCUGGAAUAAGUGAAACCUUUGAAUCGUACACAUUGAUUUCACACAAAACCAGAUCAAUCAUUACAGCCACCCAAUGCUUGUACUUCGUCAACAUACAAGGGGCAUACACCUUAUAUGCGUUCUGCCAAUCCAUCCCACACGCCGGAACCUUGCCAUUUACAACGUUCAGUAAACUGUUUCUAACUUUCCACCUAACCUGCUUUUUUUUUUUUUUAUCCGCAAAGCAAGUACGAAUGUGAUUCUGUCAAAUAGAAAACAAUCAAUGGUUAAACACCUCCACAAAGCAAGUAUGGAUAAUUUGUAAUUAUUAACAGCACUUGGUCAAGGCCCAUGACAUACCAUAAAAAAUACAUCGGUCGUUGUCCAGUCCGAUAUUUCUACUUCCUCCAACUCUUGUUGUCGCUUCCGGAUGAGAUACAACCCCAAAUCAAUGUGCUGCAACAUGUUUUUCUUGUCAAUCUCAUAAUCUAUGUACAUUAAA
rnacentral:lncRNA from 1 species